rnacentral:rRNA from 1 species
UACGAAGGGGGCUAGCGUUGUUCGGAAUCACUGGGCGUAAAGCGCACGUAGGCGGAUUUUUAAGUCAGGGGUGAAAUCCCGAGGCUCAACCUCGGAACUGCCUUUGAUACUGGAGAUCUUGAGUCCGGAAGAGGUAAGUGGAACUGUGAGUGUAGAGGUGAAAUUCGUAGAUAUUCGCAAGAACACCAGUGGCGAAGGCGGCUUACUGGUCCGGAACUGACGCUGAGGCGCGAAAGCGUGGGGAGCAAACAGG